UCAAGCACACUUAACUCUCGAACUCUCUCUGGACAAGUGACCGAAAAGAUAAAUACACUUUGAUGACAUAGGUAGCCAAAUCAAUUCCUUUAAACCAUUCCAAUAUACCGCAAACUGAGAUGUUACAAUUCACUACUUCUCACAUAGUGUCCACAUUACGUCUCAGGAUCAUAACUCAUAUUAGUGUAAACCCACACAUGACUCUGUCGGGAUUCGUCUCUGAUACCACUUGUAACUCCCCAAUCAUCCACGACUAAUAAUUUACACACCCGCCAAAUUCGAUCCAUGGGCUCCAUCCCAUGCGAGCGUUAAUUUUUCAUAGACAAAAGCUUUGUUUACAGACCAUGCAAUCACCACA
rnacentral:lncRNA from 1 species